UAUGUAGGGUGCGAGCGUUAAUCGGAAUUACUGGGCGUAAAGCGUGCGCAGGCGGUUCGUUGUGUCCGUCGUGAAAGCCCCGGGCUUAACCUGGGAACUGCGAUGGAAACUAGCGAGCUGGAGUGUGGCAGAGGGGGGUGGAAUUCCGCGUGUAGCAGUGAAAUGCGUAGAGAUGCGGAGGAACACCGAUGGCGAAGGCAGCCCCCUGGGCUAACACUGACGCUCAGGCACGAAAGCGUGGGGAGCAAACAGG
rnacentral:rRNA from 1 species